UACGGAGGGUGCAAGCGUUAUCCGGAUUCCCUGGGUUUAAAGGGUGCGUAGGCGGGCAGGUAAGUCAGUGGUGAAAUCUCCGGGCUUAACCCGGAAACUGCCGUUGAUACUAUCUGUCUUGAAUAUCGUGGAGGUAAGCGGAAUAUGUCAUGUAGCGGUGAAAUGCUUAGAUAUGACAUAGAACACCCAUUGCGAAGGCAGCUGACUACACGAUCAUUGACGCUGAGGCACGAAAGCGUGGGGAGCAAACAGG
rnacentral:rRNA from 1 species